CCUACGGGAGGCAGCAGUGAGGAAUAUUGGUCAAUGGGCGGAAGCCUGAACCAGCCAAGUAGCGUGCAGGAUGACGGCCCUACGGGUUGUAAACUGCUUUUAUACGGGAAUAACGCGCCUUACGUGUAGGGCUUUGCAUGUACCGUAUGAAUAAGGACCGGCUAAUUCCGUGCCAGCAGCCGCGGUAAUACGGAAGGUCCGUGCGUUAUCCGGAUUUAUUGGGUUUAAAGGGAGCGUAGGCCGCAUGUCAAGCGUGCUGUGAAAUGUCCGGGCUCAACCCGGGCCUUGAAGCGCGAACUGGCGUGAGUGAGUACGCGGAAAGCAGGCGGAAUGCGUCGUGUAGAGGUGAAAUGCUUAGAUAUGACGAAGAACCCCGAUUGCGAAGGCAGCUUGCUGCAGCGGAACUGACGCUGAUGCUCGAAAGCGCGGGUAUCGAACAGGAUUAGAUACCCUGGUAGUC
rnacentral:rRNA from 1 species